GCCGCCGCCGCCUCUCCUCCUCUUCCUCCUCUUUCUCCCGUGCCUCCGCCGCUUCUCCUCACCUUCCUCCUCUUUCUCCCGUGCCGCCGCCGCCUCUCCUCCUCCUCCUCCUCCUCCUCCUCCCUACGUUAGCGCGGUUGGGUCAUCGGGUGAGCAGCGGCAGGCAUCUGUAGUGUGUCGGAGUGUGCGGAUGAUGACAGCGGCACGCAUCUUGGUGAGGCAGCGGCCACGGCCGUGCCCUCCUCUGCGCUUCCUCUUGAAGUACCCUCUGCUGCCGCGUGCUCGUCCUUCGUGUGUUACCGCACCGAGGAGACGGGUACACGAACUAGGCGGGCCACGGGACGACAGCUGCUCGAGCACCCACCUCAUGAGGAGGGGUUGAGUACAGCUCCCAGAUCAUGGAGGAGAUGCCAGCACAGGGUUUGGUGGCAGAAGUCACUGGAUGCAUGCUCAAGAAGCCCAGCACGGCCAGGUUGACAUUGUUGGAGUAAGUUGCUAUUCUUCAAAGGACCUGUUGUCUUGGAGAAACAAAGGAGUUGUGCUCCAUGGCGAGGAAAAUAAUUUGUCACAUGACCUCCACAAAUCCAAUGUCUUGGAGAGACCCAAGGUGGUCUAUAACAACCGGACCGGCAAAUACGUGAUGUGGAUGCACAUAGACGAUGCGAACUACACCAAAUCCUCAAUCAGCGUGGCGACGAGUGAUUCUCCCAUGGGACCAUUCACUUAUCUCUACAGUAAGCGCCCACAUAACUACGAAAGAAGAGGCAUGACCAUUUUCAAGGCCUACCUGAUAUAUUCAUCCAAGGGCAACAAUGAGCUCCACAUUGUGCAGCUAACCGAUGACUACCUCGACGUGACCGACGGCAUGCGAAGAAUUCUCGUCGCACGGUAUCGAGAACCCCUCGCGCUCUUCAAGUUCCGUGACAUCUACUACUGAUAACCUCGGGUUACACCGGCUGGGCACCGAACACUGCAAGGUGAAGAAAAAUUCAGAUGGGAAACUACACAUAUAUAUUGUAUGCUAUACAAAUAUUGCAACAUACAUGGGUGCCAAUGCGGAUGCCGAUGCUACCUAUCGUAUGUUGAUAUUAACAUGGAGGAGGCACAUAUGUUUGUUGAUUCUGUUUCUGGGUUGGCCCUUGAGGGGGAGAGAAAGCAAACUUCAGCAUGCUUCAGGGAUUUUAUACAUGGUGUCAACACAAUUCUCCGGUACAUUGCACGUGCUGCAUUUGUUUCCAGCUUCUAUGGCCAGGACGAUAUUCAGGCAGCACAAGUUGACCAAUGGCUCAAGUACGUACCAACUCAUUCUCUCGGGCUCUGAAUUUGAAUCUGCUUGCUCAUUUCUUGAUGGAUACUUGGCAACUCGAACCUUUUUUGUUGGUUAUGGUCUAUCAAUUGCUGACAUUGUCAUGUGGUCAAAUCUCACAGGUCACCAUGGUUGUUCCAUUGUCAUAUCAUUCAUCAUAUGCUGCUGUUUAGCAUCACAAAAGAAGAAGGCCAGAGUUAUUUCUUCGUUUUGGAUAUUUUCCAUCAUAACUAGCAGCCAAUCUGAGCCGAAUAUCUGAAGUAAUUUCCGUAAGUUAAGUUCCGGUGCUCCUAUCUUUGAACUAGAAUCUUAGCGCUUAUUUUGUCCACGUCAAGGUUUCUUUGUGUGCAAUUGAAAAUUAUGUGAGAACUGGGUUUUUACUCCAAUACCCCAAUUUCAGCAGAUAUUGAAAACCCCAAGAGUUUGGUGCCAUUUGUCACGCUUGUAUACUUAAUGCUAUUCUUUGUGUCUUUAAUAAUGUCUCACCAUUUGUACAACUCAAAAGAGGAUUUCCCAUGAACAUUUUAGCACUGCUCUUACCUAUCGAUCAAAAAAUGUUAUUCUCUACAGGUUAAAUUUGUUUGAAGAUGAUACUAUGCAUGAUGCGUAAGCUGGGGAUGGCAUGACAGUGCAUGCUGAUGCUGUCGGUCGAGAAGUACCAUACCGCUCUUGCCUUCCCUGCCAAUGCUUCCUCCUGCCAUGCUAGCCAUGUGUGCCCUCACCUUUGUUCAUCAAUUCGUGCGCAGUUAUUCAAUGAACACCACAUGUCACAUGAAAUUUAGACUACUUGUCUACAGGUAAUUGGUUAGAAUCAGUUUCUUGAGUUGGCUUGCUUAGCAUGUAAUAUUUCACUCACUAAUUGUAUUAUUUCACAGUUGGCAAUUGUUAGAAUCAGGUCUUAAGUUUGCUUGCUUAAUCAUGUCCCUGUGUAAUUGCUCACCAAGCUCGCCAAUUGUGAGUUUGUCCCACAUAAUGGAGUUUCUAUGAAUUUUUGUAGUCCAGAAAUUCUUGGAAAUUCUCUUGUUGCUGUUAUAAUGUGGGUGUGUUCGGCUUCCUUCUUCAUUAAAGGUUGUCCUUUUUCCUUCAUAACUACGCUUAAUGGGUAGCGGGUAGCUGUUAUGCUCACUUUGCUCAAAGCAAGGUUGUGUAGCCGUGCUAUUUUGUGCUUUAAGAAGUAAGGCGACACUAAAUCAGUAAUCCCGUGCUUCUGCUAUGUUGGCCCAAAGUCACUAUUUUUUUCAUGUUAUCUUUACUCUUUAGCCAUUCCAAAACAUUUAUCUGAUUUGCAGUAUGGCGCCUUUGUUUCUGGUCUACAAAACAACAACUUUUACCCAGGCUUGUUAUUUCUAAUUCAUUCUUUUUCCCUGCUUGCUUAUUAUAACACAAGCCAUCAUGACUCUACUAUCAAUCAUACACACCUUUUCGAUAUACUCCCUCUGUCCAAAAAAGCUUUUCCCAAGUUUGUCCCUCAAAUGGAUGUAUCUACUAUAUACGGAGCAAAAUGAGUGAAUCUACACUAAAAUAUGUCUAUAUACAUCCGUAUGUAGUCCUUAUUGAAAUAUCUAAAAAGACUUAUAUUUAGGAACGGAAGGAGUAUACAUUUAGUAUUUCAACCAUAACUUAUUGAAUGAUAGGUCACCGAUUAUAAUUUCAAAGAGGAUUUUAUAUAGGCCCUAUUUUCAUUUCGAUCUGUCCAUGAUACCCUUGCAUUAAUAUUGUAUGACAUUGUUUAUUCAUCUUCAUAUGUUCUGUUCAGUGCAAAUGCUACAUGUAUGUGCUUAUUACGUCAGCAUGGAUGAUAUGUUUGAUGCCCGUAUAGAGAUGCUACUUUAUUUUAUUGUUCAUCUCUUCCGGUCAUUUCUUAAUAAUCUUCAUUAUUAUUAAUGAAAUGGCACCAUAAUCUGUUAUAUGGUGGUUGGAAUGUGGUUACAUGGAAUUAUGUAUC